rnacentral:rRNA from 1 species
AACGCGAAGAACCUUACCUGGGCUCGAAAUGUAGAGGACGGUAUCAGAGAUGAUGCCCCUCGAAAGGGUCUUUACAUAGGUGCUGCAUGGCUGUCGUCAGCUCGUGCCGUGAGGUGUUUGGUUAAGUCCAGCAACGAGCGCAACCCUUAUCGUUAGUUGCCAACGCGUGAAGGCGGGAACUCUAACGAGACUGCCUGGGUUAACCAGGAGGAAGGUGAGGAUGACGUCAAGUCCGCAUGGCCUUUAUGUCCAGGGCUACACACGUGCUACAAUGGUCGGUACAGAAGGCAGCAAGACCGCAAGGUGGAGCAAAUCCUAAAAAACCGAUCUCAGUUCAGAUUGUAGACUGCAACUCGUCUACAUGAAGUUGGAAUUGCUAGUAAUGGCGUGUCAGCAACAACGCCGUGAAUACGUUCCCGGGCCUUGUA